GCGGUUAAAAAGCUCGUAGUCGAAUCUGUGUCCCGCGCCGCCGGUUCAUCGUCCGCGGUGUUAACUGGCGUGUCGCGGGACGUCCUGCCGGUGGGCUUAGCCUUCGGCGGCCCAACUCAAUCCCGCCGCGGUGCUCUUCACUGAGUGUCGAGGUGGGCCGGCACGUUUACUUUGAACAAAUUAGAGUGCUUAAAGCAGGCUAAAACUUCGCCUGAAUACUGUGUGCAUGGAAUAAUGGAAUAGGACCUCGGUUCUAUUUUGUUGGUUUUCGGAACCCCGAGGUAAUGAUUAAUAGGAACGGAUGGGGGCAUUCGUAUUGCGACGUUAGAGGUGAAAUUGUUGGACCGUCCCUGGUUGAUCCUGCCAGUAGGAUUGCACUUUGUCAAGAGAAGUUAAGGCGAAGGCGAUCAGAUACCCAUAAACGAUGCCAGCUAGCGAUCCGCCGACGUUCCUCCGCUGACUGAACCUUACGAGAAAUCGGUGUUUUUGGGGUCUGGGGGGAGUAUGGUCGGAAGGCUGAAACUUAAAGGAAUUGACGGAAGGGCACCACCAGGAGUGGAGCCUGCGGCUUAAUUUGACUCAACACGGGAAACCUCACCAGGCCCGGACACCGGAAGGAUUGACAGAUUGAGAGCUCUUUCUUGAUUCGUGGGUGGUGGUGCAUGGCCGUUCUU
rnacentral:rRNA from 1 species